UCUCCCCAACAAUGGACAAAGAGACACUUUGGUGGGGGUGUUGUUCUCAUAUCAGUCAAGGAAAGAGCAGAUGGCACUUCUUUCUUCAUCCUAGCUUGAUGUCUGGCUUGGUGGCCAAGGCUGUUUCAUGACUGGUGCACAUAA